rnacentral:rRNA from 1 species
GCUUAACUCUGGAACUGCCAUCAAAACUUUUUAGCUAGAGUAUGAUAGAGGAAAGCAGAAUUUCUAGUGUAGAGGUGAAAUUCGUAGAUAUUAGAAAGAAUACCAAUUGCGAAGGCAACUUUCUGGAUCAUUACUGACGCUGAGGAACGAAAGCAUGGGUAGCGAAGAGGAUUAGAUACCCUCGUAGUCCAUGCCGUAAACGAUGUGUGUUAGACGUUGGAAAUUUAUUUUCAGUGUCACAGCGAAAGCAUUAAACACACCGCCUGGGGAGUACGACCGCAAGGUUAAAACUCAAAUGAAUUGACGGGGACCCGCACAAGUAGUGGAGCAUGUGGUUUAAUUCGAAGAUACGCGCAGAACCUUACCAACACUCGACAUGUUCGUCGCGACUCUAAGAGAUUAGAGUUUUCGGUUCGGCCGGACGAAACACAGGUGCUGCAUGGCUGUCGUCAGCUCGUGUCGUGAGAUGUUGGGUUAAGUCCCGCAACGAGCGCAACCCUCACUUUUAGUUGCCAUCAUUUAGUUGGGCACUCUGAAAGAACUGCCAGUGAUAAGCUGGAGGAAGGUGGGGAUGACGUCAAGUCCUCAUGGCCCUUACGUGUUGGGCUACACACGUGCUACAAUGGCAUUUACAAUAGGAAGCAAGGUGGCGACAUCAAGCAAAUCCUAAAAAGAUGCCUCAGUUCGGAUUGUACUCUGCAACUCGAGUACAUGAAGCUGGAAUUACUAGUAAUCGCGGAUCAGCGCGCCGCGGUGAAUACGUUCCCGGGUCUUGUACACACCGCCCGUCACACCAUGGGAGUUGGUUCUACCUUAAGGCAAGGUUUAAAAUCCUUGACUACGGUAUAGUCAGCGACUGGGGUGAAGUCGUAACAAGGUAGCCGUA